rnacentral:rRNA from 1 species
CAGUCGCCGCGGUAAUACGGAGGGCGCGAGCGUUACCCGGAUUUACUGGGCGUAAAGGGCGUGUAGGCGGCCUGGGGCGUCCCAUGUGAAAGGCCACGGCUCAACCGUGGAGGAGCGUGGGAUACGCUCAGGCUAGAGGGUGGGAGAGGGUGGUGGAAUUCCCGGAGUAGCGAUGAAAUGCGCAGAUACCGGGAGGAACGCCGAUGGCGAAGGCAGCCACCUGGUCCACUUCUGACGCUGAGGCGCGAAAGCGUGGGGAGCAAACCGGAUUAGAUACCCGUGUAGUCCCUGUCUCUUAUAC